rnacentral:lncRNA from 1 species
AUAAACCUUCUGCAAUGGACCCAUUGAUGCCAUCGCUGUGUAUACACAAGUGUGCCACAGGAUAGGCAGCAGUGCAUUCUGAAGGCCUCAAAAGAGGUACGGGACCAGUCAAAACCACAUCAGCCCACUGAUGAGUGGACUGAGAUGUCUGUGAUGAAGCUAAAAGGAGAUGCCGCCUGGUCACCCAAAAUCCCUCAGAGGUGCAGUGGAUGGGUCAGCUAAUUCUGACUUUUGGCAAGUACCGAGGCAAAAGCUUCCAGUGGCUGGUGAAAAACGAUGUUGGCUACAUUAAAUAGUAAGUGUGCUGUUCUAAACAAAAUUAAUCUUUGCUCAUUCUUGUCCCGUUAAAUGAUUCAUAAUUAAAUGUGAUAUGUCAGUAUCGUCGAUCGCCACGUUAAAGAGAAGCAGUGGCCAGAGAGAGGACCGAUAAAUGAUGAGUGGGUUAAGGAUUACCUCCAGUUCUUCUCGCAAGUCUCCUGCCACCUGGAGAUGUGUGUGGACAGAGCCAUUUAUGGACAGGGUGAAAUCUGCAGCAGAAAAGGCCAAAAGACCUGGAAAACAGAGCCGGCCAGCUUCUGCACACAAGUCCGUCAGAUGCACCACUCCAUCGUCAACGGCAAGAUCGCCGUCUGAACCACACAUCGAGGAAAAACAUGGAAAGAUGAAGGGGAGGAAGGUCCUGAAGGAUGACAGGAUGUGGUUUCAUCCUGUGGUUUCAGACAUACUGUCAGCAAAAAGUAAUCAUCUCCAGGACUUGAAGGCCAGACUUUUGACACUUUUGUAGACUUUCAAAGGGCUGUGGACAUUCUUUUGGGACCUCAUUUCCAGGUGUAAGCAAAGAAAAUUGGAGUGUUUUAUCGACUGCACUUGACAAUAAAUGCUUCUUUGUACUUGACAAUAAGUUAAAAAAAAAAAAAAAAAGGCUGUCAACAGGUCAUGGCCACAGCUUUUUCAUUUUUAUUUUGUAGCACUCAUUGGGAAAUUAAAUGUUCUUGCUCUUCAGUGUCACCUGGGUGGGGCCACCUCUCUUUAAUCACAGUCAGUGCUUUAUUCAUUUCCAAACAUAGGACGCCUCCAUUUCCAAGACACCUGGCUUGUCUUCUGGGCCACCACAAUGUAGGAACCUGCAAGGGACCAAUGACAGCAUCAUCACUAUUUUUCUUGCACGACAAAUGUUAUUCCUCAACUACAGGCCCGGGCAUGGUAUUCUUUACCAUCUUUUCAAUUUCUGACUGCACCUAAUGGCACAAAUAACAUCACUUGUGUGUUCAAAUACUACUACACCCACAGACAGUCAUCGCUUUGCCCUGCAUUCAUUUUUUCCAUCCAGCAGAUGGCUCAAUAGCUUGAUGGCUUACAUUUCAAUGAGAGAUUUUGACAGAUAUUUAUAACCAUUUGGGCAGUUUGGCACUUUAUGUUUGCAGUUCCCUGUCAAAAAACUUGACUUUGCCACAAUUUGUCUACACUUGUCUACACUUUGUUUUGCACGUCGUACGGGUCGAGGGCCCUUAGCGAAGCACCUGCCAGACGUGCAAAAACAUUCCUCAAUGUGGCCAUGUGAGACGUCCAGUCAUCAGUACACAAAAAUGUCAUCCAAAUAGGCUUUGCAGUGUGGAACAUCACCCAGGACCUUGUUCACGAGCCUCUGAAAGGUAGCAGGGGCGUUGCAGAGACCAGAAGGCAUAACAGUAUACUGAAGGGAGCUGUUUUGUGUCACAAAUGCCGAGAUCUCAGAUGCCAGAGGGUCAAUGGAACUUGCCAGUAGACUUUCAGUAAAUCCAGUUUGUUGACGUACCGAGCUGGACCAAUCUCAUCAAUGCAGUCAUCAAUAAGUGGCAAGGGAUGUGCAUCAGGGACUGUGACGGAGUUCACCUUUCGGAAGUCUGUGCAGAACCUUGGGCAGCUAUUCGACUUCUUAUCCAGCAAACAAGGUGAACUCCACGGACUGGAACUGGACACAGCGGACCCUUCUUCCUCAUGCACUCCCUCUUUAGAGGACUUACUCG